rnacentral:rRNA from 1 species
UACGUAGGGGGCAAGCGUUGUCCGGAUUUAUUGGGCGUAAAGAGCGUGUAGGCGGCUAGAUAGGUCCGUUGUGAAAACUCGAGGCUCAACCUCGAGACGUCGAUGGAAACCAUCUGGCUAGAGUCCGGAAGAGGAGAGUGGAAUUCCUGGUGUAGCGGUGAAAUGCGCAGAUAUCAGGAAGAACACCCGUGGCGAAGGCGGGACUCUGGGCCGAUACUGACGCUGAGGAGCGAAAGCGUGGGGAGCAAACAGG